CUGCAUUCAAAGAUCUUACAAGCUUGGGGAGAGAAAGAAAGGUCAUUUACCCAUCUGAUGCUGAGAUUAUCCAGCUACUGGUUAAACCCAUUGGAAAUUGGAUUCUCUUUAAAAAGAAGUCUAUUUUGGUUGAGAAUACAUGACUCAAUACCUACCAUGAAAAGGAGCCAGAAAGAAAUAUUACAAAUGUGCAAGUCAUUACUGUGUAUCUCAAAUAAAGCUGUAGGAGGCAAAUAUAAAGAAUCAGCAAACACCUUUAACCUGGACUCCUUGAAACUAAUCUUGGAUUCAUUUGAGAGGGUUUGGUUGAAGACAUCAUUAUGGAAGGGAGGAAAAGUUGGAUGUUUCAUCGUUAGGCACUAAAGACUCUUGCAUCAAAAUAUUAGCAAAAAAUACAUUUUUGCUAAUAUUAAGCUAGAAAGAUAAUGUAUCAACCUACUUACCCAAGACAAAUCAUGCUUUCCUCUAAGACCCGCAUCAAGAGUGUUCAAGUUAAAAGUGGCUCCUGAAUUUGGUUCCAUCAACAUAAUGGCACAAUCAACAUGGAGAUAUGACAAAAAUGUUAUGACAGCCCAUACAUUCCCCAGGAGAAAGACUGACUCUAGUAGCAAGCUCCACAUCUAAACUGGAGCUUCUGCUUAGACAAGAUAUGGAUAUCAGAUUUUGUAACUGGAAAAAUUCCAUCAACCACCCCCCUAAUUACCUUCUCCAUACAAGACUUAACAUCAAGUGGCAAGAAAAACUCCCCAUAGAGAAAGAUUUACCCAUUACCUCUUUAUAGGAGGCAAAGGUCAUGAAACGUUAGUUUCCAUGGGGCAGGUCAUCAUAGGCAGGAUCUGAGCUUCAGUAACAACUUUUUGGACAAUGGAGUUAGAAGUGAGGCAUAAGGACAAUUGAGAACACAGCCAGAAUAUACUCAAUAUUACAGUAAAAAAAGUUGAGAAAAAGAUCAACAGAAAAUGUUUGAUGCUCAUUUUGAAGAAAAUGAAGCUGCCAGAAGACUAAGAUACUGGUGAGAAGAUGAGCCACAUACAAAAAAUCAGAUCAACAGAGGUGGUAUUUCAAAUGUAAAAUCUUUACAUAUGGUGAUGGCCUUGUUUUAGUUCAUUAUGUACCUUGAAUAAAGUGGACAGAACUUGGGCUUUGGAAUUAUGU
ensembl:lncRNA